UACGUAGGGUGCGAGCGUUAAUCGGAAUUACUGGGCGUAAAGCGUGCGCAGGCGGUUCGUUAUGUCCGAUGUGAAAGCCCCGAGCUCAACUUGGGAAUGGCAUUGGAAACUGGCGGGCUGGAGUGUGGCAGAGGGGGGUGGAAUUCCACGUGUAGCAGUGAAAUGCGUAGAUAUCGGGAGGAACACCAGUGGCGAAGGCGGUUGCCUGGAGCUUUGCUGACGCUGAGGCGCGAAAGCGUGGGGAGCGAUCCGG
rnacentral:rRNA from 1 species